rnacentral:rRNA from 1 species
GAUGAACGCUGGCGGCGUGCUUAACACAUGCAAGUCGAACGGGAAACCUUUUAUUGAAGCUUCGGCAGAUUUAGCUGGUUUCUAGUGGCGGACGGGUGAGUAACGCGUGGGUAACCUGCCCUGUACAGGGGGAUAACAACCAGAAAUGGUUGCUAAUACCGCAUAAGCGCACAGGGCCGCAUGGUCCGGUGUGAAAAACUCCGGUGGUAUAGGAUGGACCCGCGUUGGAUUAGCCAGUUGGCAGGGUAACGGCCUACCAAAGCGACGAUCCAUAGCCGGCCUGAGAGGGUGAACGGCCACAUUGGGACUGAGACACGGCCCAGACUCCUACGGGAGGCAGCAGUGGGGAAUAUUGCACAAUGGGGGAAACCCUGAUGCAGCGACGCCGCGUGAAGGAAGAAGUAUCUCGGUAUGUAAACUUCUAUCAGCAGGGAAGAUAGUGACGGUACCUGACUAAGAAGCCCCGGCUAACUACGUG